GUGAGACAUUAACUGCUUUACGGAACUUGUGUUGUACUAAACUGAAAAACAGAGAGAAUGCUAUGGCCAUCUUAACUGUGCCUUCAGAAAAUAUGACUUGUUUCCAAUACAUCAAUUUAUAUAUCAGAGCAUUUGCAUUUAUCUCCCUGGGUGAGCUGAAGCAGAGUUCAGUUCAGUUAUGGGCUAUUACUCAGUUGAAUUUGGACGACACCCAA
rnacentral:lncRNA from 1 species